rnacentral:ribozyme from 2 species
GUUUUAAUGCAGCCUGGGACGGUUACAAGCCCGUGAAAUGCAGAGUAGAAC